AUGAACGCUGGCGGCGUGCCUAAUACAUGCAAGUCGAGCGAACGGACGAGAAGCUUGCUGCUCUGAUGUUAGCGGCGGACGGGUGAGUAACACGUGGAUAACCUACCUAUAAGACUGGGAUAACUUCGGGAAACCGGAGCUAAUAACGGAUAAUAUUUUGAACCGCAUGGUUCAAAAGUGAAAGACGGUCUUGCUGUCACUUAUAGAUGGAUCCGCGCUGCAUUAGCUAGUUGGUAAGGUAACGGCUUACCAAGGCAACGAUGCAUAGCCGACCUGAGAGGGUGAUCGGCCACACUGGAACUGAGACACGGUCCAGACUCCUACGGGAGGCAGCAGUAGGGAAUCUUCCGCAAUGGGCGAAAGCCUGACGGAGCAACGCCGCGUGAGUGAUGAAGGUCUUCGGAUCGUAAAACUCUGUUAUUAGGGAAGAACAUAUGUGUAAGUAACUGUGCACAUCUUGACGGUACCUAAUCAGAAAGCCACGGCUAACUACGUG
rnacentral:rRNA from 1 species